UACAGGGGGGGCGAGCGUUGUUCGGAAUUACUGGGCGUAAGGGGUUUGUAGGUGGCUUGCUCAGUCAGACGUGAAAUCCCUCAGCUUAACUGGGGAACUGCGUCUGAUACUAGCGAGCUUGAGUGCAGGAGAGGAACGCGGAAUUCCAGGUGUAGCGGUGAAAUGCGUAGAUAUCUGGAGGAACACCGGUGGCGAAGGCGGCGUUCUGGACUGCAACUGACACUGAAAAACGAAAGCCAGGGGAGCAAACGGG
rnacentral:rRNA from 1 species